AGUGAACGCUGGCGGUAGGCCUAACACAUGCAAGUCGAACGGCAGCACAGUAAGAGCUUGCUCUUACGGGUGGCGAGUGGCGGACGGGUGAGGAAUACAUCGGAAUCUACUUUUUCGUGGGGGAUAACGUAGGGAAACUUACGCUAAUACCGCAUACGACCUACGGGUGAAAGCAGGGGAUCUUCGGACCUUGCGCGAUUGAAUGAGCCGAUGUCGGAUUAGCUAGUUGGCGGGGUAAAGGCCCACCAAGGCGACGAUCCGUAGCUGGUCUGAGAGGAUGAUCAGCCACACUGGAACUGAGACACGGUCCAGACUCCUACGGGAGGCAGCAGUGGGGAAUAUUGGACAAUGGGCGCAAGCCUGAUCCAGCCAUACAGCGUGGGUGAAGAAGGCCUUCGGGUUGUAAAGCCCUUUUGUUGGGAAAGAAAAGCAGCAGGUGAAUACCCCGCUGUUCUGACGGUACCCAAAGAAUAAGCACCGGCUAACUUCGU
rnacentral:rRNA from 1 species